rnacentral:rRNA from 1 species
GGAGGAAAAGAAACCAACAGGGAUUGCCUCAGUAACGGCGAGUGAAGCGGCAAAAGCUCAAAUUUGAAAUCUGGCCUCUGGCCCGAGUUGUAAUUUGCAGAGGAUGUUUCUGGCGAGGUGCCUUCCGAGUUCCCUGGAACGGGACGCCAUAGAGGGUGAGAGCCCCGUACGGUUGGUCGCUAAGCCUCUGUGAAACUCCUUCGACGAGUCGAGUAGUUUGGGAAUGCUGCUCUAAAUUGGAGGUGUACGCCUUCUAAAGCUAAAUACAGGCUAGAGACCGAUAGCGCACAAGUAGAGUGAUCGAAAGAUGAAAAGCACUUUGAAAAGAGGGUUAAAAAGUACGUGAAAUUGUUGAAAGGGAAGCGCUCUUGACCAGACUUGGGCCGGUUGAUCAUCCGCCGUUCUCGGCGGUGCACUCUGCCGGCUCAGGCCAGCAUCAGCUCGGUACGGGGGAUAAAGGCUCCGGGAAUGUGGCUCUCUCCGGGGAGUGUUAUAGCCCGCUGCGUAAUACCCUGCACUGGGCUGAGGUUCGCGCAUCUGCAUGGAUGCUGGCGUAAUGGUCAUCAGUGACCCGUC